rnacentral:lncRNA from 1 species
AGCACCAAAAAUUCUCUCAAUGUAUUCAGUUCUUAGCAUAAUUUAUGUUUUAACCAUUUGUAAGGAGACUGUAGUUUACUACAACUCAGUCGUAGCAGUCAUAGUAUAAUUAUUUGUAUUUACAAAGUAAGUUUGUAUUUGUACGUUUAUAUUUUAAUACAAUCUGUAUUAUACAAUUGUUACAAAGUAAGCCCGUGUUGACGGCAACUAUUUUCUCUCUCUCUUCGCUUCACAAUCUGAGUUAACUCUGGGAUUCCAGGUUAACAGUGCAGGAACCCUGACCAAUAAGUAUGCUCUGUGCUUGCAGUUCAAACUGAUAUGGCACAUCAGAAACUAUGAACAUUGAAAUAGGCAUAUUUUAUUGUCAUAUUUGUGACCAAUUUUAUAUUGAAUACUAUUGUUAUGAAUGUAAAUGCUUCUAUACUAUGAAUAUUGAUGACCCAUAUUGUACUCUUAAUAUUGUAUAAACUAAUGGAAUAUUUAAUUUUAGUUUAUGUUUAUGAAUCAGACAAUGGAUAUAUUACUGAAUAUAUUGUUUAUU